CAGCUUCUAACUCUGGAGAUGUACUACGGUGUCAGCUGUUCACUACCAAUGAACUAAGGGUUGCUCAAAUAGUAACACUCCAUGACCACAGCAUAGACUUGUUUGCUCCAUCUACGUCGUGUGUGAUGGUCCAUUGAUGGAUAACGACAGGCUGGAGCCGGACCAGUAUCCCCGAACCUGCCGAGUUCAACAUUUUCACCAUCAAGGGCUUCAGAUUCAUUACCACCGAACAGCUGAUACAGUUAUGAAGCUCUGUUAAGCAGAAACAAAAAUGGAUUCAGAGGAAGUCCCCGAAAUUAAUUUAACACUCAACAUUACUGCUCAAUAUCUGGAGGAAUAUUCGUCCAACUGCACUCAGAACCUACGUAAUGUCCACUAUUUUUACCGGACUGGUCAGCUGGUGUUUCUGUUCUUGCUGUUAUGUUUCAUUACAAGUGGAAACUUAAUCCUGUUAGGAGCUGUGACACUAUCCCGAGCUGAGAAACGAUCCAGAAUGAAUUUCUUCAUAAUGCACUUAGCCAUUGCAGAUUUAUUAAAUGGAUUCCUCGGUGUACUUCCGGAGCUUGUGUGGAAGUUUACAGUGGUCUGGUACGGCGGACCAGUUUUAUGCAAAAUUAUCCCAUUCAUUCGAGCUGUCAUCACAUUAUUGUCAACAUUUAUUUUGGUCUCACUCAGUAUUGAUCGUCUCCAUGCAAUUGCAAGACCAAUGAGAUUUUCACAAAGCUCUCGCCUCAGCAAGCUAUUGGUGACCAGUGCAUGGGUGUUUGCAGUGAUUUUACCAACUCCUCUGAUGAUAUUUACAGAACAAAUAGACAUAUGUAUUGAUAAUUAUCAAUGCUGGAUGAACCUCCCAAAGUAUAUGUGGAAGAUAUACUUUACUAUUGUGAGCUUUGUAGCAUUAUUCAUCCCGGCCCUCUUGAUAUUGUUUUGCUAUGUUACAAUUAUUUACAUCAUUUGGCAAAAUGGCAAGAAUGAAUGGAAACUCAGAGCUGUAGGAAAUCACAGUUGGCGGAAUGGUGGAGAUGGUAAGAGAGAAGAAAGUAUCACUUCCAACAGCGGACAUCGUUUUGAAUAUGACACUCAUUACAGUAGAAAGACUCACAUCCCACAAGCUAGAAUCAGGACAAUCAAAAUGACAUUUCUCAUUGUUUUAGUUUUCAUUCUGUGUUGGAGCCCCUACAUGAUCUACGACUUAUUGCAAGUAUACGACCUCCUGGAAGAAAAUGUCGCUGUUGCUACAUUUGUACAAAGUUUAGCUCCACUAAACAGUGCAGCAAAUCCUAUUAUAUAUGGGAUUUUUACAACACGAAUUUGUAAGAGCCUGAGGAAAAUGAAACGGAUUAAAAAUGGAGUUGGUAUGGGUAGAAUGAAGUACUGUAUGUCAAGACGACAAACUCAGCGGACGUCUACCUUCUAUACAGAUAUAAGCUCUGUUCGUGAAGCAAUGCAGAAACUUUCUUGUGGCUCUAACACAUCUUUUCCUAAAGUGACUUGCUCCAACAGUAAAAUGGAUGUUUCACAAAAUGCAGCUGCUAAUGAAUUCCAACCGAUAUCUCGAACGGUCAGCAGAAAUAUAUAAACUUUGGUUGACUCAGGAUCUAAAUAAUAAUAGGUGUAGAGAAGCAUGUGUGAAACUUCAAAUGUUCUAUAAACUACUAAUAACAUGGACAAAAAAAAGGAAGGAAAAAUAAGAAGCGUGGCUGUGCGGUUAGAAGCUUGCUUCCCAACCACAUUGUUCCGGAAUUAGUGGCACCUCGGGUAAGUGAUUACUCUCUCACGACCACAUAAUAUCAUAUCGGGAGAUACGAUCUUCAAAAAAUGUUCACAAAGCAGGCAAUUACACUUACCUAAACUGUCGUUCGGUUUAACACAACUCGGCUCUUGUAUAGAUAUAGCAGAGUCAACUCUGUUGCAAACAUCCGGACCAGAUCAGAGGAUAAGUAACUCAAUAUCUUGAUACACUACUUCCUACUACAGUGACAUAAGCCUUUCUUAUUACCUUCUAUAUUCACAGAGAUCCUGUAAAGUUUAUGGACACCGAUCUUCUACCUCUGUCGAAACUAUAAAACAAAUUACGUGGAUAAAUUCUUCAGAUUUUGAUUUCUGCAGAGUCUAUAUUUAUUGUGAGCAGGGUUAUUUAUUGUUGUUGUUGUUGAUGUUAUCUAUUAUUUGUAUUUGAAGUAAAAUACAUUUGAAGAGGCCUCCCUACUCUUGAAUUGUUUUGAGGUAUUCUUCAAAGUGAAAUGUUAAAUAUCUGCAUGUACUCUAUGGUACACCAAAACUACAUAAGGUCCACAGGAUUAUCGCUCAGACGCAGAUGCACUCUGCAUCGACAGCAGAUUGCAUUCCAAGAAUACAGAAUGAUACCCUUUAGUGAACAUAUUGAAAAAUGCGCAAAAUAAAUGCUACCACAAUUUGUAAUCUUUCCAUUCUAUCAAUGUGCCAUUGGAACACCAACACAAGUUAGAUUAAAUAAGCAAACCUUCUUCAUUGAAAAAUAUAAGCCAAAACUUAUCCAUUUCUAACAUUUUUAAAUAAGGACACUCACCUCAUUGAAAAAAUACAAAGCAAAACCUAACCACUUGUAACAUUUUAUUCCUUCUGAACCAGAUCAUGUUAAAUUAAUCAAACCUAGUCAUUCCCAACAUUUUUUAUUAUCUCCCUUAUACCGGAAAAAUUCCUGAUUACCUUCCCCUGUCCGGAACUCAUUAUUUCACGUCAUAGCGAAGACAUGACACGAUAUAGGUAAAGAAAUUUGAGAAAUUUGAAAAAAAAAUACGAAUCCGGUUAUUUCUCCAAAAAUAAUGUUACUAUACUAAAAAUUUUAUAACAUUUUUCAAACAUAACGAUUUAAAUAUAUACUUUAUCCAUAUAACACAAGCCUUCUGCAGUUUUUUUCACUCUUUUUUGUCUUUUAUAUAUAAUAUAUGCACACACACACACACACACACAUAUAUAUAUGAUAACGACUUGUCACUCCUCCAACUUUGCACAGGGAUAAACUUAUUUAUAUUAUAUCAAGUAUCCAGUUUAAUGUAAGGUAUACCAUAUUACCAUAUGGAUACAUCCUCAGUCCAAAGAGUGGUAUUUAACAGAUUUUGCAAUUGAUGUAGUGGAUUUUGGUAAUAUUUUGGACUUGUUAAAGCCAAAAUUAAAAUGACGAUACAUCCUAAGCACAGACGGUCAAAGAACAAAUCCCUACCAAAAAGAAUCAAUGUAGGAGAGCUUAAAGAUCUUGAGUUGUGGGAAUUUUAGCAGGAACCGAUUCAGGAUCCGUCAUCAUAGGGUGAAUUAGAAAAUAAUUUACAUGAUAUCUCUUCAGAAUUCCUUGGAUUUGAAAAACCUGAUAGAGGGGAUUAAUUUUACAAAAAUAAUACAGAGAUAACUCAACUACUUGAGCAAAAGUCUGCACUCAGAAAAUCACUCUAGAUUAAUUUAUUCUCUAACAGUCUCAAAAACACAAGAGAAGCUAAAACGAAUUAAAACAGGGGUACAGAGAGCAAUAAGAGGAAUGGAGUAUGAAAGAAAAUUGACAGAGGAGUUUGUCAAAAGAUAUUCAAUCAGAAGCUGAUUACCAUGAUGCUAAAGAGUUUUAUACUCAUAAAAAAAAGGCAUAUGACCCUGAAGCUACUAAAGUAAACAGCAACAGCUUUGCUUGAAUGCAAACGUGUAAUGUUUGCUCUUUACGUUUCUUUCUUAUUCUUUAUAUCAAUAGAAGCUAUUGUCAAAUGAUGGAAGGAAACUUUUCUAAUUUAUUAAUCCGAAAUUCUAAUGUCAGUGGUGAUAUCGACUCCAAUCUUCAUCACAUAUUAAUCAUUUAUUAAUUGGAUAAUAUUCCUUUAGUUGAAGAGGUUCAAAUCUCUAUUAAUAAACUUAAUCCUGGAAAAGUGCCAGGAAUAGAUGGAAUCACAAGUUAGGAGCAGUACCAAACGCUUGGUUUGAUGGUGUUAUAUUUCCUGUUUAUAAGGGGAAAAGAGUGGUUGAUGAGUAUAAAUAUUCAAGAGGAAUCAUAUCCUUAUCUUCUGUGGGAAAAAUAUUUACUGGGCUUCUCUUUGCACAAUUAAACGAUAAGAUUUCACCGAAUGUUCUUUCAGAAUCUUAAUGUGGUUUUAGACCAAAUACGGAGCCAUGUGUAUGAUGUUUUCUACAUGUCACGCGCAACAAAAAUGUCGUAAAUAAAAUCUAUAUUUAGUCCAGAGUUUUGUCGAUUUCACAAUGGCCUUUGGCACUGUAAAUAGGCACGUAUAACUGGAAGUUUUACGUAAGCUUGGUGCCCUGUAGGUUUUGUAAACAUGAGGUCUGGAGAACUUUUCGUUUGUACUUGAAAGUACAUUCAAAGGUUGCAGGGAAGAUGUAUAUAUUCAUUACAUAAUAACCGGUAUAUUAGUUAAUUUGAAAAGGUUUUCAGGGAAAACAAAAAUGUUUACCUCUUUAAUAAGAGAUUUAUUGUAUGCAGAUGGUUGUGACUUGGUAACCUGUUCAAUCAGUGACACGCAGCACCUAAUGCUUAAAUUGAUAAAUCCUGUAAACUUUAUCUAAAUUUAUUUGGGUUUACAAUAAAUUUACAUAAAGCUGUUGCUAUUUCAAACAGCUUCCAGCCCAAAUUGAAUGUUAUGGACGAAUAUGUCUAUCUUGGAAUUGGGUGGACUUCAUUAAACUAUGAAAUAGCGAACCGUUUCAGGCUUUCAAGAAUUUUGAAAGGAAGGACAUGCUUGGUCUAAUAGAGAUAUUACAGGGAACACAAAGGUUACAGUGUAUAGGGUGUGUGUGCUUUCAACCUUUCUACUCACGUGAGACGUGAGUAGCAUAUAGGAAGAAGGUUUAUUUACAUGAACGAUUUCAUUAGCGAUGUUUGCGCUCAGUAUUAAAAAUGAAAUGGGUGUGCAAGGAACCGGAUUCUGAAGUAGUUGAGCGUUCUGGUAUACUCUUUUACUUGUUUCAGUCAUUUGACUGUGGCUAUGCUAGAGCACCGCAUUUAGUCUAGCAAAUCGACCCCAGGACUUAUUCUUUGGAUGCCUAGUACUUAUUCUAUCGGUCUCUUUUGCCGAACCGAUAAGUUACGGGGACGUAAACACACCACCAUCGGUUGUCAAGCGAUGUCGGGGGGACAAACACAGACACACAAACAUAUACACACACAUACA